rnacentral:lncRNA from 1 species
AUGAGUCAGCCGUAAUUAGAUUAGUUUAGGGACAAGUCAGGAUCAGAGAAGAGUUGUUUUUGUGUUUUGUUAAUGUCUGAGUGAUCUUUAAAGUAUUUUACAAAAAGAUAUUGAAAAUUUCGUUGAAGGCAGAGUUUAGUAAUUAAGUUAGAAUUAAGAGUGUUGCGAGGUUAAAAAAACGUGCCUCGUGGAUCUCCCUGUUUUAGUAACAUGGAGAGAAAAAGUCUACAGGAAAAAGUGAACAAUUUAAUGAAGAUGAUUAGCCUUCCUUGAAAUAAGUAUUUGUGGAUGGGUGUUAAAUUAAAAUUUCCAGAAUACACUGUCCAUCUCACACACUCUGAAAUCUAAUAUAUGAAGUAGUAAUGAAAAUGAAGUAGUAAUUUAACCAGAGUUCAUUUAUCCUUGAAUAAACCUUUUUAUUUUCACCUCAGAAAAGUGAGUGUACCGGCAGUUAGUGUCACUGCUUUGCACAGUCCCCAUUAAAGGACCCUCCAGAGAGGGACAGUAACUGUGCAUGAGAAGCUGCUCCCAUGAGCCUCCUCAGCCAGAUGUCAUGGGUGAAACUGGAGCUGUGUCAGGGCCAGCACAGCUGAACUGUGACAAUGGCAGGAGGUGGCAUGUGCCCAGCACUUCCAUUAAUCUGAGCCUAGGAGUUGAAUUCUUUGGCAAGGUUGGAUUCUGAGGUCCUUAUUAUGUUAAUGAUGGUGCAAUACUCUCACCUGCAGUAGAACUGAGUUCUGCUGCAGCUUGUGUAAAAGCGGGCAGUACACAAGUAUGACCCGAAGCCUGCGAGCAGUAUACGUGGAUGCUCACCCAUGAGAAAGAGCACACACGCCUCAUUCUCUGCCCUCACCCACUGCUCACCUAGAGCAUCGCUGAGCGUUAGACAAAGUGUUACACAGAACGAUUAAAACUUUCAGACUUCUACCUAUGCUCUUUAGUCCUGUAAAUUGGGUUGUAUUGAUGUCAACUCUGGUGCCUUAGAAGUUAGUAGUUUGGGAACCUAUCUGUAAAAUCGGAUGUUUUUUCUUUGUAGAGAAGGAUUUCUGGUGCUUUUGCUUACUAAGAGACCGAUAUUCUUAAGUUGUUUUCUUGUUUUAACAGCCUUGAGAAAUGUUUGGUUUUUGGCCAGCGGAAUUCUUAUCUGCUUUUUUCUUUCCCAAAAAGUGUUUUUUAAUUUCUCUACCAAAGAAAAAAUGAGCAGGUUUAGGUUUUUACAUGACUUACAUACAUUAGAUAAAAGGAGCUAUAUAAUUUAGCAGGAAAGGACUAUGGGAGAAUACUUUACUGUGAGUGGAAAAUGUUAGCACAUUUGACUGGCUUGCCCUGGAAUCCACUGCACCUUUACACUGCACCAUGAAACCUACACUCCCUGGUAUCAUAGCGCGUCACCACCUCAACAAGUCAGUUGUCUCUAUUGAUACUUGUACAAAAGGUAUACAUGGGGAACACAUGUUCAUUCAUUAAGUCCAUCUUGCAUGCACCUAUAUCCCUGAUUGGUUAUUUUUCCUUUCCUUCUGAGGUUCUCAUGUCAUUUUCUUCAUCGGCUGUGACUAAAAUUUUUCCUGUGUCUUCCUGCCCUCUCUUUAAUUUUGCCUCUUGCAGGGUAGCAGAUGCGUCAGUGCAUUUUAUUACUUGCUGAAACAUUCAGGCUUACAUUUCUUAUUAGUUUAGUAUUUUAAAAGAUUUAAUUUUCUGAAUGAGGCAUUUGAAUUGUACCAGCAAUGGACUUUUAAAAAAUUGGAUGUAAAACCAUUCAGGGUAAUUUUUCUUAUCAGUGGACAGUAACAAACAGAGAUUUGAAAUCCCUUACCUCCAAUAAUAAGCCAUUCAGCCUAAAUUCAUUUUUAUGAAUAAAUCUCUUCUUUCUCAUGGUAAAUGUGGCUUGUGCCACUCAAACACUAGUGAAAGGGUAUGUUCAACCGCAACAUCAGGCCAGGACACCAUUUAUUUAACUAAGUAAUGGAGGAGAGUGAAACAUUUUCCAAGGCCUUAUUUCUUUUUCAGAAUGCUUUAAGUGUUGAUUAUAUGUGCUGGGUCUCUAGAGAAGUUUUUAUUUGUUACAAUACUGCUGCUUUGAGCAAUUUUGUUUCUCUUCAUUGUCUGUUAGGGAAAUCACCAGCUUUGGCAUCUUAACAACAAACAGUGGAUGGGUAAUUUUUAUUUCUGGUACGCAUCUUUAGAGUCAAAUAUAUCUUUUCCCUGUACUCCUCAUGUACAACCAAAGAACAUACAUUAUGAAAAUUGUAUUAUAAUAUCUGGAAACACAACAUUUUCCUCUGACAGGUGACUUUUGUACGAAAAAAAAAAAAAAAACCCUGUGUUUUUUUUGUUCUUUUGUGAUUAAGGAUAUACAUUUAGUAGUCUUUGUUAUUAAAGGAACCUGCUGAUAGGUGCAAGUGUGACCAUCUCAUUCAAAUGUUUGUUGUUAAGAUGCAAAUGGAUAUUGGUUUCAAUAGAAGCUGGAUCCUUAAUACUGCAUUUUCUGAAGUCUGUUUUAAUAUUUGUGUUAAAGUAGACAUAGCUGAACUCACAUGAAAUCCUGGAGUUUUGUUAUCAGCAGCUUUGCAGUUUGGGAAACAAAGAAACCAAAGCUGAGUAUUUUAAAGAAUGAACAUAUCUGGAAAUCCUUGCUCUCAAAACAAAACAAUAUAAUCUAUCAAAGGUGUUGUUUUACUCAGUGUUCUAAUUUUUAAAAAAUUUUAUCUGCAUAUUUGCAUCAAAUAUUUAUGUGCAAAAUGUAUGUUUUACCUCCUUAAAAUGCCUAAAAGUUAGUUAAUAGUUACUUUGGUUUAAUCUCUACACAAUGAUUAAGUGCAUUUAAUAUUGGUAAUUUAAUGAAAACCAUUCCUUACCCAAUGGAUGUAUAAAUUUUUGAAAGAAUAAGCAGAAUUAUAUAAUAUGAAAUGCUAUGUAAAGUUUUCUAUGUAAAAAUAUUAUGUAUAAUACUAUUAAAAUAUCCCAUGCUUUGAUCAGGUGGUAAAUCAAUAAAAUUUUAAAAAG